AGCUCCAAUAGCGUAUACUAAUGUUGUUGCAGUUAAAAAGCUCGUAGUUGAAUUUCUGGGCGGCCCGCUUUGUCUACCUUAACCGGUGUGCACACUGCCGGACCGUUCAUCCUUCUGAAGAACCUAUGCGGCAUUCGUUUGUCGUGUACGGGGAUCAGAUACUUUACCUUGAAAAAAUUAGAGUGUUUCAGGCAGGCAAUCGCUGGAAUACAUUAGCAUGGAAUAAUAGAAUAGGACCUUGGUCUUAUUUGUUGGUUUUGUGGACCGAAGUAAUGAUUAAUAGGGAUAGUUGGGGGCAUUCGUAUUUAAUUGUCAGAGGUGAAAUUCAUGGAUUUGUUAAAGACGAACUUAUGCGAAAGCAUUUGCCAAGGAUGUUUUCAUUAAUCAAGAACGAAAGUAC
rnacentral:rRNA from 1 species